CAUAUAAGUAAAAUAAUCCAUUUUCACACUCUCGAACAAAACUUUAAAAAGUACCUAACCUUAAUUUUGUAAGUAUAAUAUUUGUAACACACCCAUGACUGAUAUUUUCUUGGGUGCAUUAAAAUAACUUAGAUAAUAUUAGUAGGUUUGUUUCCUUUUACUUCUUACAAGAUUAGGCACGUACCUACAUACUUAUAACAGGCACUGAUUUCUUAUUUCAAGAAAUGUUAAAAUUAGCAUAAAAUAAAGUACUAGCCGUUUUCCCGCAGUUUCACCCACGUCCCGUGGGAGCGGGAUAAAAUAUAUCCUAUGUUACUCGCAGAUAAUAUAGCUUUCUAAUAAUGAAAGAAUAUUUAAAAUCGGUCCAGUAGUUUUUGAGUUUAUUCAUUACAACCAAACAAACACCCUCUUAUUAUAAAACGCGGUAUCAAAUAAGUAUCGGCUUUUGUACUACCUUUAAUCCAGCUGUAAGUACGACCUUGAAAAAACGUUAUUACAAAACGCAGUUUAUCGCAAGUCCUUUUACUAUCUGUAGUACAAAAGAUAAACCAUCGAGCCCCCUAGUUUAACUGCAGUACUUAGUCGACAAACGUCAAAUUCCGUCAUUAUUUACUUUUGAGGUUAUUUGUUUUGUGAUGAAAAAAACGAAAGUGGAUAUAAAUAUGUGUGAUUUGGAAUACUUGGAUGUGUUAGAAUACUAUUGAGAGUUUCCGGGGACCCAACAGUGUGCGUCAUCGACAAAAUCUCUUCAAAUUAUCUGAUGACAAUUUUCGAUAUAAAUAUCGAUUUAUGUUUUUCGAAAUAAUAGUCAAUUGAAUGCAUGAUGAUAAUCCAUGAUGAUCCUAUGAUGCUCAACUGGGCUCGCCAUAAGAUUCAAGACUAUUUUGGCGUUUUGCACGCCGUAUCUUUGCCAGUAAUAUGCAAUGUUUGUAAAAGACUGGAAGCUUGCUAAAAUGUACAAAAAUGCCAAGAUGAGCAAGGGAACAAGAUUGUGUGAUGAAGAACAGUGUUCAACAUGUAUCAGUGCGUUUGACUGUAUAAAUAGACAUCGGAAUAAAAUAUAAUUUUGUACUUU